rnacentral:rRNA from 1 species
AUUGAACGCUGGCGGCAUGCCUUACACAUGCAAGUCGAACGGUAACAGGUCUUCGGAUGCUGACGAGUGGCGAACGGGUGAGUAAUACAUCGGAACGUGCCCGAGAGUGGGGGAUAACGAAGCGAAAGCUUUGCUAAUACCGCAUACGAUCUCAGGAUGAAAGCAGGGGACCGCAAGGCCUUGCGCUCACGGAGCGGCCGAUGGCAGAUUAGGUAGUUGGUGGGGUAAAGGCUUACCAAGCCUACGAUCUGUAGCUGGUCUGAGAGGACGACCAGCCACACUGGGACUGAGACACGGCCCAGACUCCUACGGGAGGCAGCAGUGGGGAAUUUUGGACAAUGGGCGCAAGCCUGAUCCAGCCAUGCCGCGUGCAGGAUGAAGGCCUUCGGGUUGUAAACUGCUUUUGUACGGAACGAAAAGCUCUGGGUUAAUACCCUGGGGUCAUGACGGUACCGUAAGAAUAAGCACCGGCUAACUACGUGCCAGCCGCCGCCGUAAAAC